rnacentral:rRNA from 1 species
UCGGGAAUUUUGGGCAAUGGGCGAAAGCCUGACCCAGCAACGCCGCGUGAAGGAUGAAGUAUUUCGGUACGUAAACUUCGUAAGAAUAGGAAGAAUAAAUGACGGUACUAUUUGUAAGGUCCGGCUAACUACGUGCCAGCAGCCGCGGUAAUACGUAGGGACCAAGCGUUGUUCGGAUUUACUGGGCGUAAAGGGCGCGUAGGCGGUGUGUCAAGUCACUUGUGAAAUCUCUGGGCUUAACCCAGAACGGCCAAGUGAUACUGUCGCGCUAGAGUGCAGAAGGGGCAAUCGGAAUUCUUGGUGUAGCGGUGAAAUGCGUAGAUAUCAAGAGGAACACCUGAGGUGAAGACGGGUUGCUGGGCUGGACACUGACGCUGAGACGCGAAAGCCAGGGGAGCAAACGGGAUUAGAUACCCGAGUAGUCCCUGAGCGGGCUGGCAAGGCGCAU